rnacentral:rRNA from 1 species
UACGUAGGGGGCAAGCGUUGUCCGGAUUUAUUGGGCGUAAAGAGCGUGUAGGCGGCCGUACAGGUCAGCUGUGAAAACUCGAGGCUCAACCUCGAGACGUCGGUUGAAACCGUACGGCUAGAGUCCGGAAGAGGAGAGUGGAAUUCCCGGUGUAGCGGUGAAAUGCGCAGAUAUCGGGAAGAACACCCGUGGCGAAGGCGGCUCACUGGCCCGAUACUGACGCUGAGGCACGGAAGCGUGGGGAGCAAACAGG